rnacentral:rRNA from 1 species
CCCUUAGAUGUUCUGGGCUGCACGCGUACUACAAUGGAACUCGCAUCGAGUCGCGAAACUGAGAAGUUAAGCGAAUCUUGGAAUGUGUUCCGUGACCGGGACAGUUGAUUGCAAUUAUUCAACUCGAACGAGGAAUUCCUUGUAAUCGUGAUUCAUCAUAUCGCGAUGAAUACGUCCCUGCCCUUUGUACACACCGCCCGUCGCUCCUACCGAUUGGGUGAUCCGGUGAAGCGUUCGGACCGUGGCCUUUGGACGGUUCGCCGUCUGUUGGCUGCGGGAAGUUCGUUAAACCUUAUCAUUUAGAGGAAGGAGAAGUCGUAACA